AUUUGAGCUCUGAAGGUCAGAAUCAGAGCUGAAGCUUCAGAAAAUAGGACGAAGCAAUUGCCAGGAACUGAAUGCAGGAAACAAGCAGCAGUGUUGGUAUGAACCAGGGAGCUGGAAACCGAGGCAGGAGGAAGCCGAGCCUUCCCUGGUCGAGUGUCCACUUCACAAUAAAUUGCCAAAGCAGAGAUGAAAACACUGCCAGAGGUUAUCUUUUCUCCCCCAGAAUGAUCUAAGACUGGCAUGAUCAACUAUAUGCCACAAACAGAACUCUGCAAAGGGCUUUUUCGUGUACAGAGGAAGGAAGCAAGUUCUAGCAGGGGCAACACUGACAGACAAGCGGGAAGUGAGCUGUGGCGUCCGCUUGCUCCGGCGGUUCUGUACAGUGAGUUCCAUACCCAGCACUGUCAGCAAAACCUUCCAGAGAGCAGACUCCUUACUUCCGACAGCUGCAACAAAGAUAAGCAAUUGCUCUGUGAUAAACGCCGCUGGGUUGCGUCACCCGCCCGGCAAACGGAAACCAGGUCCUCGGCGGCCAUCUAGCUGCAAGGUGAGUCUCAGUCAUGUCAUCUGCUGAGUCGCAAUUGUUUAACAACAAUGAAUUUAGGUCCAUUACGCCCAGCGUCAACUUCAGAAAGAUUUUAUCACGCCUGCUUUUUGUGCAGCUAAGCUGGGAAGUGUGGGCUGUCACAGACUGAAGCAGAAAAGGAAUAAAUUUGCAUGUUACUGGGACGGGAAGAGCCCCUUGAUGGCUGGAGAGGCAGCUGAUGCUGUCAAGUGCGGGCAUGCACCAGGUAUCUGCCCUGGGUGGCUGACAGCCAGCGCUUUUAGAGUCAACAUGGAAUCAAAGAGUUAGGACUAUCUCAAGUAAAGUGUCAAGAACACAGAGAAGCCUGAAUCUUGAUAAGAGGACACCUCGGAGGAGAGAAAUGCACAGAAAGAAAACGACCUUGAGUCUGUAUAAUGUUACAAGAAUCAGAAUCGUAAAACGCCUGAAAUGGAAAGAAAAUGCACAGCUCAAAUAAGAGAUUCAGACUUGAAAAGGUUGGAAGUUGUACGCUUGCCACAAAGGCAGAAGAAAUAGGAACAAUAGGUAACUGCAGGGUUAUGAUGGAGAUAACAUUUCUGUGCUCAAGGCUUACCAUCUGCUAGCUUACCUAGGCCUGUGACUUGAGGCAUCAACACGUGUGUUUUCACUGAGCCCGCCUCUGUGGUGUGAAAUGCAAGACUUUUGAAAUAAUUUUGAAAUACAAAUAUUUUUUAGAAGGAAAAAAAAAUGAUCUGUGGCAAUAAUCAAUUCAAAAAUUUCUAUUUAAAGAAGUAAAUAAAAAUACUGGAAAUGAGACUAAGUGAAAACACAAAUAAUAUAUUUGCUGUUUUGGAAAUUAAGUUUUCAGCAAAGUGUGCACAUAUAUAUAUAUAUUAUAUUAUUAUAAUUAUAUAUUAUAUAAAUAUAUAAUAAUAUAUUUAUUAAUAGGGAGCAAAUGAAUGCUUCUCCUCAAAGGAAGACUGCCUAUUCUGACAACAUUUUAAGUGUUUUGAAUCUCACUUCUCAGUUUCUACUCUUUAUUGUUAUU